rnacentral:rRNA from 1 species
UACGGAGGGGGCAAGCGUUAUUCGGAAUUAUUGGGCGUAAAGGGCGCGUAGGCGGCUAGAUGUGUCAAAGGUGAAAUCCCUCGGCUCAACUGAGGAACUGCCUUUGAAACUGUCUGGCUUGAGGCCGGGAGAGGGUAGCGGAAUUCCCAGUGUAGCGGUGAAAUGCGUAGAUAUUGGGAGGAACACCAGUGGCGAAGGUGGCUACCUGGACCGGUUCUGACGCUGAGGCGCGAAAGCGUGGGUAGCAAACAGG